rnacentral:rRNA from 1 species
ACCACUUUGUGGUUCAUGACUGGGGUGAAGUCGUAACAAGGUAGCCCUAGGGGAACCUGGGGCUGGAUCACCUCCUUAUAUACGAAGAU